rnacentral:rRNA from 1 species
CCUACGGGAGGCAGCAGUGAGGAAUAUUGGUCAAUGGACGAGAGUCUGAACCAGCCAAGUAGCGUGAAGGAUGACUGCCCUCUGGGUUGUAAACUUCUUUUAUAAAGGAAUACAAUGAGUCACGUGUGCCUCUUUGCAUGUACUUUAUGAAUAAGGAUCGGCUAACUCCGUGCCAGCAGCCGCGGUAAUACGGAGGAUCCGAGCGUUAUCUGGAUCUAUUGGGCUUAAAGGGAGCGUAGAUGGGUUGUUAAGUCAGUUGUGAAAGUUUGCGGCUCAACCGUAAAAUUGCAAUUGAUACUGGCAGUCUUGAGUGCAGUUGAGGUAGGCGGAAUUCGUGGUGUAGCGGUGAAAUGCUUAGAUAUCACGAAGAACCCCGAUUGCGAAGGCAGCUUGCUGCAGCGGAACUGACGCUGAUGCUCGAAAGCGCGGGUAUCGAACAGGAUUAGAUACCCGUGUAGUC